AUUUGAUAUUAUAUUGUGUCCAGUUAUAUCAAUAAGUCUUAUCCGAAUGAUCGAAAUCCUACGUAUUCCGCGGUAUUUUUUUUUAUAAUUUUUUAUAUAAUAAUUCAUAUUAUUAUAUUAUUAUAAAGUGACAAGGUAAGUGACCCCAUAUUCUACGUGACUAUAUAUUAAAAUUUUCGGCGUAGCUAAAUAAAUUACUGGGUGGUAACUUUAUAAAAUAUGAUUUAUACCGUGCGCGUAUACAAUAUAAUAUAUAGUGUCCAAUAAAAUUAUCACGAAACCGUUUUAUGGCUAUAUAUCGCAGUGUAUACCCACGAAUAUGAUCAAUUUAAUUCUUGAAGAAAAAACGUGAUAAUUUCUUUAUAAAUAACAUUAAAUUAUUUUUGAUAGUCAAAAACGAUU